GGUUAUCGGGUCUGUGGUUGAAAGUCGAUGCCAGUCGCAGGCGAAGCGAUCCACAUAAGCGGGCGCAGAGCGUGCCGUGAGCAUGGUGCGGCUUAGAUGUAAGUCCGUCCGGGGCGAUUCCCCGAGAGGAGCAGUAGUGGGCGGCGUAAUUGCUUAGUAGCGAACCUUCCAGGCGGCGAGUGUGGGGGCAAAGGCCAGGUCAGCCGAAGCC
ncrna:unclassified sequences raiA RNA